rnacentral:rRNA from 1 species
UACGGGGGGAGCAAGCGUUGUUCGGAUUUACUGGGCGUAAAGGGCGCGUAGGCGGCCACCGCAAGUCAGUUGUGAAAUCUCUGGGCUUAACCCAGAACGGUCAGCUGAUACUGCGGGGCUAGAGUGCAGAAGGGGCAACUGGAAUUCUCGGUGUAGCGGUGAAAUGCGUAGAUAUCGAGAGGAACACCAGAGGUGAAGACGGGUUGCUGGGCUGACACUGACGCUGAGGCGCGAAAGCCAGGGGAGCAAACGGG